rnacentral:rRNA from 1 species
CCUACGGGUGGCUGCAGUGAGGAAUAUUGGUCAAUGGACGAGAGUCUGAACCAGCCAAGUAGCGUGAAGGAUGACUGCCCUAUGGGUUGUAAACUUCUUUUAUAUGGGAAUAAAACGUUCCACGUGUGGGAUUUUGUAUGUACCAUAUGAAUAAGGAUCGGCUAACUCCGUGCCAGCAGCCGCGGUAAUACGGAGGAUCCGAGCGUUAUCCGGAUUUAUUGGGUUUAAAGGGAGCGUAGGUGGAGUGUUAAGUCAGUUGUGAAAGUUUGCGGCUCAACCGUAACACCGCCCCCCACCCUGGCAGUCUGGAGUACAGUAGAGGUGGGCGGAAUUCGUGGUGUAGCGGUGAAAUGCUUAGAUAUCACGAAGAACUCCGAUUGCGAAGGCAGUUCACUGGA